GGAAGGUCACUGCUCAGCGGUGGAGGUGGUAUCAUCAAUCUGGAUCUUCACUGCUGCUGGGCUACCUAUAGGAAGAGAAAGCCAAGGGAGUCAGAAUUCCAGACUCCAGGAACCCACCUGAUCCCAAGGGAACUCACUGGACAUGCAGAAGAAAAAUGUCAGCUCCAGACAGAAGCCAGCACCAUAGCCCUUACCCAUACAUAGCACCAUACGCUACAAGAUACCCAUCCACCUCCACCCUUCUCCACAGAAGUGUUCUUAAACCCAGGAACAGGUGCCACUGGCCCACCGACAGCCACAUGUGGGGAGAGGUGGAGUCUUUUAGCUUGGGAUAAAAUGAUUAUAUGGGUAUGGAUGGGGGAACCUGGGGGUGGAGGGGUGUCCAAGAGAUAAAGUCCUUCCUUUCAGCUUUAGAGUCCUUUUAAAAGCACAGUCAGCUUCUCCAAACACCCACCUUUGUCCUCCACCACAAUGGGAAUCAGAUCGACUGCUGACUUCUCCUCCACCUUCUCCACAUCAGCAAUACCUGGGAGAACAGAUGGCACUGAGAGCAUGUCUAAGGAAGUGUAUUCUCUGUUCUACACUAUAUCCUGAACCUAAAUCAUGAUGAAAGUCAUAAAAGAUGUCUUGAGAGAGAAAAAGCCCACAGUUUAAAAUCAAGGGUACAAGAUUCUUCAGUGUGUCACUUCCUCUGGACUUCCCUCCAGCCGGGCUGCAAGCCCAAGAGCAACUGUGGUUCACAGGGAUCUGUAGUGUGUGAAAAUGUACAUACCUUUGGGAUCUGUCUCCAUUGGUUCCUCUGUUCUCUCCUUGACCUCUGCCUUUUCCACUUUCUCCUCUCCCUCGGGAGGCUCAACAAGGACUUUUUCAUCCUCUGAGGCAGGGGCAGGGGGCUGUGUACACUUCAAAGGAAAGAAGAAAGAAGCUGAAGCAGACAGGCCAGCACCCAAGAGGAAGAACAGGCUUAUCCAUCUGCCUUUGGUGUGGCAUCCAGUCACCCCCGUCUCUUACCUCAACAGUGGCUUCAGGGGCUGCAGAUUUCACUUCCUUUUCUCCUUCUGCACUGUCUUCUUCUUUGAGGCUAUUUUCCUCUAUUUUUAUCCCAUCCUCUGCACACCAAUAAUAGACAUUCAUUAGGAAGAAGGUCCCAGAUCAGAGAGAAGGUCACACCUUCUCAGUUUAUCUCAUCUUAACUGUCCUCUCGUGCCUUUAAGAGCCAGCCCUAUUCUUAGGACAGCCCUCCUAAACUGAGAGGGAGAUUGCUGUGUGUCCUGCCAGACUCCCCUGUUAGAACUGAGUACAGGGAAACAGAAAAAGCAAAGGCCAGGACAAGAAGAAAAGGAUAGAAAACAACAGUCCAGGCAGACUUACCAGCAGGUGGGGCAGGUGCAGGAGUAUUGGGUUGUGUGUCCCCUGGAGUGGAGAGUGUGGGAGUCUUUGGGGAAGGUGACCCUGGCUGUGACAUUUUCUUGUUUUCCUCUAUUUCCGCAAGUUCGGGCAUGCUCCAGCGCCCAUUAACAUGUUCAAACUCCUGAACCUGCAGCAAUGGGACAAGAUGCUGAAGACCCAAUUCCAUCUAGGUUCCUUUCCUGCUGGCUCUCCAGUUUCCCCUAGAAACCCCUGAACGAUGGAGGGAGGUUCAGGGCUCACCUUCUUGCGAAUCAAGGACAUGACACCAAUCCUAGUAAGGACAUGCUGGCGAGACAGGCCUUCUCGGGGUACACCAUCAGCAAAGGUCUCGGCCCCGUCUGCUCCUGGCUCACAUAAAUGCCGCAUAAAAAGAGAGACGUAAGCCCUGUAGUAAACAAAUAGAGAAAUGGGUCAAACAGCAAUCAUGCCAACUCCUAGCUCAGAUUCUUUCCCACCCGCAGUCAGGCAUCAACUAUGGCUCCAUCUGAGGUAAAGCCCACCAUCGUGCUGAAAGCUUGUCUCCAGACCCCACACCAUGUGCCAGGUCCUCUUCCAGGGAAGCGAGGAGUACAAGGAACCCUAUUACUAACAGCUUCCCUUGCCAACGUAAGCAGAGGAGACAGCCGAUGUCCUGCACAGCCUGCACUAGUACUGUGGAGUGACCAGAGACUAAAAGCCCUUGCUCUACAUCAGUCAUUCCAGCUCUCCACUUACUUGAACUCCUUCUCUGACUUGCCUCGCAGGUCUCUCACAAGCCACUGGGUGGUAAAAGCGUCCUGAGGUGGCAUCCCAUACCGCAUAAUCGCAUUGAGAAAGGCUUUUCGCUGACGAGCAUUAAAGCCAAGAACCUGGGGGGAGAAGGAACCUAGGUGAGAGAAGGAGUAGACCUUACUCCACCAAAGACCCGACAGCAGCACUCACCCAACCUUCCCUAGAACGCAACGGUACUUACUUCAAUAUUCCCACCAACACGGGCCAACAGAGGAGGCAAUGGCUUAUCUUUAUCAUUCCGCAGGCCCUUGCGACUGGGCCUGCGGGGAGCUGCGAGAAGAAAAGGAUGCGUGAGCGACACCGAUAGGGAUAUUAGACAAGGCAAUAUUUUAAAAAUCCAGCAGAAAGGCAUAGCCCUCACCUUCUGAACGUUCAUCAAAGUCUUCAUCACCUUCCUCUGAGGCCACUGAAUAAUCGGACUGGUUGUCGGACUGGUCGUCCUGCCAAUCUGGAGGGAGAGAGGGCAGAUGAGCGGGGCCCACUGCUCUAGUGGAACGGCCCAUGGGUUGGGGGCGGGGCCGGCCACACACACCUCGGUCCUCCUGGGAGCCAUCAUUGUAGUUGACCUGUUUACGGAUUCUUUUUCCUUUGCCCAGAUUGCGGGCCAGAUCUUCUUGCUGCUGCUCAUAAUGGUGCCGCAGCAAUUUCUCCCAGUAGUCAGGAUCCACACUUUCUUCCUGUUUUAUGAUUUCCCGUUCUACCUCCUCUUCCUCCUGGGACAGAGGGAGGGCCAGGACUCAGGGGUGCUGAAGUCGGCACCACCAGCUACCCCUGGUCCUCAUAGUCCCCAUUCUGCUAUAGCUCCUUCUCAUGACUGGACUCUGAAAUACUUGGUGAGCCUGCUUGGACCUAAGAGCUUAAAAGAAAUUUAAUUGACAAGACAUGGUUGGUUCCUCGUGGUUAUGUUUAGAUUAGCAGUCAAAAUAACUAAAGAAAAAUAUAGGAUGGAGCUGUUAUCACAAGAGAAGAAUGAAGAGACAGUAUGUUUUCUUUUAACUCCUUUUGCUGAUGCAUGUACAGUUGCGAGACAGUAAAAUGGAGACAAGUGAGGUCGCAGCCUUAGCAGGUAGAACGGAGAGGCUUCUGCAACACUGCAGAAGAUUCUCCCAGGAGAGGAAGGAGAAGGGCCGUAAGCCCUUUCUGUUCUGCAUAAGCUUCAUAAAAGUUUACCAACCGUGAAAAAAAAUUAUAUAUAUCCUCUUAUAUCCCAAUAAUGUUUAUGCUCCUUUGAAAGUCUUACCUUUUUUUCAGAUCGUUCAGGACCACUAAUUCCAAAUCUCUUACAUUAGAAUUAAGCUGCUGCUAACAGCAUAAUACUAGAAACAACCUAAACAUCCAUCAUUAUGGAACUUGAAUAAAUUAUGGGGGGUGAAAAGGGUGAAGAGAGUCAAAAGUUAUAAACUUCCAGUUAUAAAAUAAAUAAGUCAUGGUGACUUUAUGUAUAGCAUAGUAACUAUAGUUAAUACCAUACUGCAUAUCUGAAAGUUGCUAAAAGAGCAGCCCUCAAAAGUUCUCAUAGGAAAACAAAUGUGUAACUAUGUAUGGUGACAGAUGUUAACUAAACUUAUCAAGGUGACCAUUUCACAAAAUAUACAAAUAUCAAAUCAUUAUGUUGUACACCUGAAACUAAUAUAAUGGCAUAUGUCAAUUAUAUCUCAAUUUUUUAAAGUAAAUAAAUUAUGGUACUUCCAAACAAGGACAUAUUAUGCAGCGAAUAAAGGGGUGCGGAGGGGGGAAAGCUCUUUGGGUACUGACUUGGACAAAAUCUUCCAAGAUUUAUUAGGAGGAUAAAAAUAAGGUACAGAAUGUCAUGUAUAAGAAACUACUUUCCUUAUGCAGCAACAUGGAUGCAAGUAGAGAUUAUCACACUAAGUGAAGUAAGAAAGAGAAAGACAAAUAUCAUAUGAUAUCACUUAUAUGUGGAAUCUAAAAUAGGACACAAAUGAAUCUAUGUAACAGAAACAGAAUCACGGACAGAGAGAGAAACAGAAUCACGGAUGUAGAGAACAGACUGGUGGUUGCCAAGGGG